rnacentral:rRNA from 1 species
AUUGAACGCUGGCGGCAUGCCUUACACAUGCAAGUCGAACGGCAGCGGACCUUCGGGUGCCGGCGAGUGGCGAACGGGUGAGUAAAGUAUCGGAACGUACCUUUCAGUGGGGGAUAACGUAGCGAAAGUUACGCUAAUACCGCAUAUACUGUGAGCAGGAAAGCAUGGGAUCGCCAGACCUUGUGCUGAUGGAGCGGCCGAUAUCAGAUUAGCCAGUUGGUGAGGUAAAGGCUCACCAAGGCGACGAUCUGUAGCGGGUCUGAGAGGAUGAUCCGCCACACUGGAACUGAGACACGGUCCAGACUCCUACGGGAGGCAGCAGUGGGGAAUUUUGGACAAUGGGGGCAACCCUGAUCCAGCCAUGCCGCGUGAGUGAAGAAGGCCUUCGGGUUGUAAAGCUCUUUCGGCCGGGAAGAAAUCGCGCCAGUUAAUACCUGGUGUGGAUGACGGUACCGGAAUAAGAAGCACCGGCUAACUACGUGCCAGCCGCCGCAGUAAAAC